CCAUGAUGACCACAACAUUGGGAGUCUGAGGUCCACAUCAUAAUCUAUGCACUGCAUGCUGGAUACUGGUUAGAGAUGUUAGAUAUAGUCCAAUUUCAACAAGCAGUUUACAUGUAGAUUAAUAUUUGGAAAUCGUGUCUACCGACACAUAAUCCCAUAAGUAGAGUGCAAAUCAUUUUGACCGGGUAGAUCUGAGCCAGAAACGAUGACAGAGGAAUCCCCAUAAGCCAUGGAAAAUCAUUGUCUAUGUUCCUGGUGACGACAGAGUCAUGGGUUUUGAUGUCUCAGGAAGACCAAUCCAAUUGGAUUGAUAGCUCAAGCAAGGGAUUGGAUAGAGGAGAAGUGAUCAAGGCAGAUAGAUGUAAAUUAUGGAUGAGUAAAGAGAAAGUUAAUCUUUUUGUCAUUUUUUUCCUGCAUUUUACUCUCAGAAUAGAUACCUCCAAGGUGAUCUCCAAGUUCUUCCUCAGUCUUGAGGUGUGGGAUUCCCGGUGUGUGUCAUCAGUUUUAUUGUGAGAGUAAUAGAUACCUCCAAGGUGUUCUCCAUGUUCUUCCUCAGUCUUGAGGUUUGGGAUUCCUGGUUUGUGUAAGCAGAAUUGUGAGAGUGUGAGUUCAUCCUAUUUUCUUCAGAACGAUUUUUUUCUUGCAUGUAUUCCCUCUUCCGGUGUGAAUUUAGUAUUUUGGGAGAUCAUCUGUAGACAGUGGUUCAAUAAGGAACGCAUAUGAAAAUAAUAUGUUCCAUGAACAGAUUCUUAUGAAGAGUGGGCAAUGACAGAGGUAGUGACCACUGCCAAAGAUGCUCUAGAGUUUAAAGUCCACACAAGCAUCUGGUAGUUAAUGUUAGUUUUCAAUGGAAAUCUGACCAGCACUACUAGUGAUCAGAUGCUCAAUAAAUGAAGCACAAUUUAGAGCCUGGGUGGAUGAUGUUGGAUCAUUGAUGACCAAAAAAAAAUCAUCUGGGAGUCUUCUGAGACAUCCAUGAUGACCACAACAUUGGGAGUCUGAGGUCCACAUCAUAAUCUAAGCACUGCAUGGUGGGAUACAGGUUAGAGAUGUUAGAUAUAGUCCAAUUUCAACAAGGAGUUUACAAGUAGAUUAAUUAAUAUUUGGAAAUCGUGUCUACUGAUACAUAAUCCCAUAAGUAGAGUCAAAAUCAUUUAGACCGGGUAGAUCUGAGCCAGAAACGAUGACAGAGGAAUCCCCAUAAGACAUGGAAAAUAAUUGUCUAUGUUCCUGGUGACGUCAGAGUCAUGGGUUUUGAUGUGUCAGGAAGACCAAUCCAAUUGGAUUGAUAGCUCAAGCAAGGGAUUGGAUAGAGGAGAAGUAUUCAAGGCAGAUAGAUGUAAAUUAUGGAUGAGUAAAGAGAAAGUUAAUCUUUUUGUCAUUUUUUUUUUCUGCAUUUUACUCUCAGAAUAGAUACCUCCAAGGUAAUCUCCAAGUUCUUCCUCAGUCUUGAGGUUUGGGAUACCCGGUUUGUGUCAGCAGAAUUGUGUGCGUGUGAGUUCAUCCUAUUUUCUCAAGAACGAUUUGUUUUCUUGCAUGUAUUCCCUCUUCCGGUAUGAAUUUAGUAUCUUGGGAGAGCAACUGUAGACAGUGGUUCAAUAAGGAACGCAUACGAAAAAAAAUAUGGUCCAAACCGAUUCCUAUGAAGAGUGUGCAAUGACAGAGGUAGUGACCACUGCCAAAGAUGCUCUAGAGUUUAAAGUCCACUCAAGCAUCUGGUAGUUAAUGUUAGUUUCCAAUGGAAAUCUAACCAGCAGUACUAGUGAUCAGCGGCUCAAUAAAUGCAGCACAAUUUAGAGCCUUGGGGGGAUGAUGUUGGAUCAUUGAUGACCUAAAAAAAAAAAAAAAAAAACAUCUGGGAGUCCUCUGAGACAUCCAUGAUGACCACAACAUUGGGAGUCUGAGGUCCACAUCAUAAUCUGUGCACUGCAUGCUCGGAUACUGGUUAGAGAUGUUAGAAAUAGUCCAAUUUCAACAAGCAGUUUACAUGUAGAUUAAUAUUUGGAAAUCGUGUCUACCGACACAUAAUCCC
rnacentral:lncRNA from 1 species